CAGUCGCCACGGUAAUACGAAGGGGGCUAGCGUUGCUCGGAAUGACUGGGCGUAAAGGGCGCGUAGGCGGAUGGCACAGUCAGAUGUGAAAUUCCCGGGCUUAACCUGGGGGCUGCAUUUGAUACGUGUUGUCUAGAGUGAGGAAGAGGGUCGUGGAAUUCCCAGUGUAGAGGUGAAAUUCGUAGAUAUUGGGAAGAACACCGGUGGCGAAGGCGGCGACCUGGUCCUUGACUGACGCUGAGGCGCGAAAGCGUGGGGAGCAAACAGGAUUAGAUACCCGCGUAGUCCCUGUCUCUUAUAC
rnacentral:rRNA from 1 species